UGGGGAAUACUGCACAAUGGGGGGAAACCCUGAUGCAGCGACGCCGCGUGAAGGAAGAAGUAUCUCGGUAUGUAAACUUCUAUCAGCAGGGAAGAUAAUGACGGUACCCGAAUAAGCAUCGGCUAACUCCGUGCCAGCAGCCGCGGUAAUACGGAGGAUGCGAGCGUUAUCCGGAUUUAUUGGGUUUAAAGGGUGCGCAGGCGGCGCGAAAAGUCAGCGGUCAAAGUUCCGGGCUCAACCCGGUGACGCCGUUGAAACUUUCGGGCUGGAGUUCGUGCGAGGGAGGCGGAAUGCGUUGUGUAGCGGUGAAAUGCAUAGAUAUGACGCAGAACCCCGAUUGCGAAGGCAGCUUUCCAGCACGCGACUGACGCUGAGGCACGAAAGCGUGGGGAGCGAACAGGAUUAGAUACCCUGGUAGU
rnacentral:rRNA from 1 species